AUUGAACGCUGGCGGCAGGCCUAACACAUGCAAGUCGAACGAGGGGCAGACGGGUGAGUAAUGUCUGGGAAACUGCCUGAUGGAGGGGGAUAACUACUGGAAACGGUAGCUAAUACCGCAUACCAUCAGAUGUGCCCAUAUGGGAUUGGCUGGUGGGUGGGGUAACGGCUCACCUAGGCGACGAUCCAUAGCUGGUCUGAGAGGAUGACCAGCCAAACUGGAACUGAGACAAGGUCCAGACGCCUACGGGAGGCAGCAGGGGGGAAUAGUGCACAAUGGGCGCAAGCCUGAUGCAGCCAUGCCGCGUGUAUGAAGAAGGCCUUCGGGUUGUAAAGCACUUUCAGCGGGGAGGCGUUACCCGCAGAAGAAGCACCGGCUAACUCCGUGCCAGCAGCCGCGGUAAUUC
rnacentral:rRNA from 1 species